CAUGCAAGUCGAACGGGAUCCAUCAGGCUUUGCUUGGUGGUGAGAGUGGCGAACGGGUGAGUAAUGCGUGACCGACCUGCCCCAUACACCGGAAUAGCUCCUGGAAACGGGUGGUAAUGCCGGAUGCUCCGACUCCUCGCAUGGGGUGUCGGGAAAGAUUUCAUCGGUAUGGGAUGGGGUCGCGUCCUAUCAGGUAGUCGGCGGGGUAACGGCCCACCGAGCCUACGACGGGUAGCCGGCCUGAGAGGGCGACCGGCCACAUUGGGACUGAGAUACGGCCCAGACUCCUACGGGAGGCAGCAGUGGGGAAUAUUGCACAAUGGGCGCAAGCCUGAUGCAGCGACGCCGCGUGCGGGAUGACGGCCUUCGGGUUGUAAACCGCUUUUGAUCGGGAGCAAGCCUUCGGGUGAGUGUACCUUUCGAAUAAGCACCGGCUAACUACGUGCCAGCAGCCGCGGUAAUACGUAGGGUGCAAGCGUUAUCCGGAAUUAUUGGGCGUAAAGGGCUCGUAGGCGGUUCGUCGCGUCCGGUGUGAAAGUCCAUCGCUUAACGGUGGAUCUGCGCCGGGUACGGGCGGGCUGGAGUGCGGUAGGGGAGACUGGAAUUCCCGGUGUAACGGUGGAAUGUGUAGAUAUCGGGAAGAACACCAAUGGCGAAGGCAGGUCUCUGGGCCGUUACUGACGCUGAGGAGCGAAAGCGUGGGGAGCGAACAGGAUUAGAUACCCUGGUAGUCCACGCCGUAAACGGUGGAUGCUGGAUGUGGGGCCCGUUCCACGGGUUCCGUGUCGGAGCUAACGCGUUAAGCAUCCCGCCUGGGGAGUACGGCCGCAAGGCUAAAACUCAAAGAAAUUGACGGGGGCCCGCACAAGCGGCGGAGCAUGCGGAUUAAUUCGAUGCAACGCGAAGAACCUUACCUGGGCUUGACAUGUUCCCGACCGCUCCAGAGAUGGGGCUUCCCUUCGGGGCGGGUUCACAGGUGGUGCAUGGUCGUCGUCAGCUCGUGUCGUGAGAUGUUGGGUUAAGUCCCGCAACGAGCGCAACCCUCGCCCUGUGUUGCCAGCACGUCAUGGUGGGAACUCACGGGGGACCGCCGGGGUCAACUCGGAGGAAGGUGGGGAUGACGUCAGAUCAUCAUGCCCCUUACGUCCAGGGCUUCACGCAUGCUACAAUGGCCGGUACAACGGGAUGCGACACGGCGACGUGGAGCGGAUCCCUGAAAACCGGUCUCAGUUCGGAUUGGAGUCUGCAACCCGACUCCAUGAAGGCGGAGUCGCUAGUAAUCGCGGAUCAGCAACGCCGCGGUGAAUGCGUUCCCGGGCCUUGUACACACCGCCCGUCAAGUCAUGAAAGUGGGUAGCACCCGAAGCCGGUGGCCUAACCCUUUGUGGAUGGAGCCGUCUAAGGUGAGACUCGUGAUUGGGACUAAGUC
rnacentral:rRNA from 1 species